rnacentral:rRNA from 1 species
UCUGGUUGAUCCUGCCAGAGGCGACCGCUUUUGGAGUUCGAUUAAGCCAUGCGAGUAGAAAGAAAUUAGAUUCUUUGCAAACUGCUCAGUAACACGUGGAUAACCUGCCCUAUGCUCCGGAAUAACCUCGGGAAACUGAGAAUAAUACCGGAUAGAUCACAACGCCUGGAACGGUGUGUGGUUCAAAGGUCACGGCAUAGGAUGGGUCUGCGGCGUAUCAGGUCGUAGGGGGUGUAAAGGACCUCCUAGCCAUCGACGCGUACGGGUUGUGGGAGCAAUAGCCCGGAGAUGGAUUCUGAGACACGAAUCCAGACCCUACGGGGUGCAGCAGGCGCGAAAACUUCACACUGCAGGAAACUGUGAUGAGGGAACUCCAAGUGACUACACAUUUGUGUAGCUCUUUUCUUAACUAUUAAUCGGUUUUGGAAUAAGGGCUGGGAAAGACCGGUGCCAGCCGCCGCGGUAAUACCGGCAGCUCAAGUGGUCGUCGCUUUUAUUGGGCCUAAAACGUCCGUAGCCUGUUUGGUAAAUCUGUGGGUAAAUCAACCAGCUUAACUGGUUGAAUUCUGCAGAGACUGCCAGACUAGGGACCGGGAGAGGUGUGGGGUACUCUAGGGGUAGGGGUAAAAUCCUGUCAUCCUUAGAGGACCACCAGUUGCGAAGGCGCCACACUGGAACGGAUCCGACGGUCAGGGACGAAGCCUAGGGGCACGAACCGGAUUAGAUACCCGGGUAGUCCUAGGUGUAAACGCUGUGAACUUGGUGUCGGGAGUCCGCAAUGGGCCCCCGGUGCCGGAGUGAAGAUGUUAAGUUCACUGCCUGGGGAGUACGGUCGCAAGGCUGAAACUUAAAGGAAUUGGCGGGGGAGCACUGCAACGGGAGGAGCGUGCGGUUUAAUUGGAUUCAACGCCGGAAAACUCACCAGGGCCGACUGUUAGAUGAAGACCAGCGUAAUGAGCUUGUCGGAUUUUCAGAGAGGUGGUGCAUGGCCGUCGUCAGUUCGUACUGUAAAGCGUUCUGUUAAGUCAGAUAACGAACGAGACCCUCAUCUCUAUUUGCUACCCGUCUCUCCGGAGGCGGCGCACUAUAGAGAGACCGCUGGUG